rnacentral:SRP_RNA from 1 species
GCCUGGCAUGGUGGUCCCAUAUACUUGGGAGGCUGAGGCUGGGGGAUUGGUUGAGCCCAGGAGUUCUGGGAGCUGUAUGGUGCCAUGUUGGUCAGAUAUCUGCACUAAAUUUGUCAUCAAUAUGGUGGUGACUUCCCUAGAGUAGGGGACCAGCAGGAUGCCUAAGGAGGGGUGAACUGGCCCAGGUCAGAAAUGGAGCAGGUCAAAACUCCUGUGCUGAUCAGUAAUGGGAUUGUGCCUGUGAAUAGCCACUACAUUCCAGCCUAGGCAACAUAGCGAGGGGCCCUGUUUCU